GGGAGUUUGGCCGAGUGGUUCAAGGCGGUGGAUUUAAGUAACCCUGAUUUCUGUCUGGAAACGGGUGAAAACCUCCACUGGACGCAAGUCCGCGUGAGUUCGAACCUCACAGCUCUCA
rfam:Cyphellophora europaea CBS 101466 unplaced genomic scaffold supercont1.7, whole genome shotgun sequence.